AUGGGCGCCGGGGAAAUGCAGAUUCUUCAUAUGGAUGUCUUUCUUGGUAAAAUUCUCACGGCUGACGCUCUCCUGCGUCGGGGUUGGGAGAACUGCUACUUUUGCCCUUUGUGUGUGCGCAACCUGGAAACCCCCCUCCACCUCCUCGUGGAUUGUCCGUGGUCUAGAUCCAUCUGGGACGGCAUUGCGUCGAUGGCCAAUUUGCCGUCACUGAACACGGCCACAUGGAGCGCCACCUCCGCCUUCAAGGACUGGAUGUUGGAGCGCAACGCACUGACGCUGCCGGCGAGAAGAAAGGGCUUGAUCUCUCUUGUUCAUCUGACGGCGUGGGAGAUUUGGCGUGAGAGAAACCGACGGCUAUUCCAGCAGGAGGCAAUGACUAAAGUUGCAUUCAAGUGCAAGGUCAUGGAUGAAAUCAAGAUGUGGAACAUGGCUGGUGCUGGCAUACCUUUUGACCCG
rnacentral:rRNA from 1 species